CGGCAUCUUAUCGAUGUGAGAUAGAUUAGAUCGGCAACUGACUAAACUAAAUACCACGUAUCCCUUUAGCAUCUUAUAAUCAUAUCAGCCAAAGACCAAUGUAAUUUACCAUUGAUCGACAAAAGGCUAAGAUGGGUAUUAUACUUUAAAAACAUAUCAGCUCUGAUCGAGUUAAGUCGAGCAAACAUCAAACUAAAGAAGC
rnacentral:lncRNA from 1 species